rnacentral:snoRNA from 13 species
UCUGAUCUGUGAUGAUGCCUAAAUGAUGAGGACUGCUGGAUGAAGCUUGCGGAUAUGGGACUGAGAUCAGCC